AUUGAACGCUGGCGGCAUGCCUUACACAUGCAAGUCGAACGGCAGCGGGGACUUCGGUCCGCCGGCGAGUGGCGAACGGGUGAGUAAUGUAUCGGAACGUACCAUUCAGUGGGGGAUAACUAUCCGAAAGGAUAGCUAAUACCGCAUAUUCUGUGAGCAGGAAAGCAGGGGAUCGCAAGACCUUGCGCUGAUUGAGCGGCCGAUAUCAGAUUAGCUAGUUGGUGAGGUAACGGCUCACCAAGGCUACGAUCUGUAGCGGGUGUGAGAGGAUGAUCCGGCACACUGGGACUGAGACACGGCCCAGACUCCUACGGGAGGCAGCGGUGGGGAAUUUUGGACAAUGGGCGCAAGCCUGAUCGAGCCAUGCCGCGUGAGUGAAGAAGGCCUUCGGGUUGUAAAGCUCUUUCGGCCGGGAAGAAAUCGCAUCAGCUAAUACCUGGUGUGGAUGACGGUACCGGAAUAAGAAGCACCGGCUAACUACGUGCCAGCCGCCGCUGUAAGAC
rnacentral:rRNA from 1 species